rnacentral:rRNA from 1 species
GACGAACGCUGGCGGCGUGCUUAACACAUGCAAGUCGAACGGAAAGGCCCGGCUUUUGUUGGGUGCUCGAUUGGCGAACGGGUGAGUAACACGUGAGGAACCUGCCCUUAACUUUGUGAUAACUUCUGGAAACUGGGGCUAUUACCGGAUAUAAUCUCCUGCUGCAUGGGGGUGGUUGGAAAGUUUCGGCUGUGGGGGAUGGACUCGCUGGUUAUCAGCUUCUUGGUGUGGUAGGUGCUUACCAAGGGUUUGACGGGUAGCCUGCCUGGGAGGGUGACCGGGCACAUUGGGCCUGCGCGAGGGACCAGAAUGGUAUCGGAGGCAGAGGUGGGGAAUAUUGCACAAUGGGCGGACGCCUGAUGCAGAAACGCCGGGUGCGGGAUGACGGCUUUUGGGUUGUAAACAGCUUUCGAAUGUGACGAAGCGUGAGUGACGGUAAUGGGUAAAGAAGCACCGGCUAACUACGUG